AGGCAGCAACCGCUCCCCGGUGCCGGUCCCUCUCCCGCCCCCACUCACCGGCCGUCUCUCCGGGCGGCGCCCCCGCCACCCCGUUCAGGUAGAGGAUCGAGAGCAGGCUCCACUAAAGUGCUUUUACAGGGCCUUCCAACCAGCAAAAGAGUCCUUCCUUCUCUGCAAUUUCUUUUCCUCUAGACUGAAAUCUCCACUUUACUAUAAUCUGCCAUAUUUAGGGUUACUGAAGACUGAAUUUACCAGGAUUGUUUCACCUUAGAAGAGGAAUGCCAGUAUCUUGGCACAUCGAGCCAGGUGGCACUUAAUCUGCAAAGAGGCUAUGUACCUUUGGGAUUUGCCAUGAUGAUGAUGCUCUUGUUGAUGAUGGAGGGUUCCCAGCCCAUUGGAUUGAAUCUGGUAUUCUGUCCACAUUUAAGUGAAUGCCGUGGUGUCUUGUCAUUCCAAGGAUCACCCACUUGUCUCUUUAAUUAGUGCUAGUGUGCAUGCCUUACAUAAGCCUCCAGGUUGCUCUCUUACAUUGAUUACCAGUCACCACUAACUGCAUGGAAAUCACCCCCACUCCUGGCUACAGCAGAAAGGCCUAAGGACUACAGUUAAUCCUAGGGUGAAAUCCUGGUAGGGUUACCAUCUUUUAGUUUUUAAAAAGGAGGACAC